UUCUUCAAAACCAUAUCUUUAAUGGAAUGUUAAAAGUUAGGUCUAUUAUAUAAAUAGAACAAUACAUGUUAAUUUUUGUUUGAUUUGAUAACAUUGAUAAUAAGUGCUGAGUUUCUAUCCCUGUAGGAUUAUCUUUCUAAUGAUAUAAACUAAUUUCAUUGAAAGUGUCCAUCAGACAUUGAGUGGCUUUGGGUCAAGAUUUAGCUUACAGAAAGUGUCGCUAAGUCAACAGUCUGAAUCAAAAUGAUCAAUGAUCAGUAUUGGUCAAGUCUGGACGCCAGCCACCCAAAUGUCUUCAUGGGACAUCCUGGUGGAAAUUUUAUGUGCGCUUAUAUGAAAAUAUAAAAAAUGAUUUUUGUUUCAUGGAAUGCAAACAUACAGAAGAAUAUAGAACAAAUUCAAUAACACUGCAAUCAGUGACUAUACAAUUAUUCUGUACAAUAUUUACAUAGCCACAGAAAGUGAAUGAACAAAGAUAUAGUGUUGCAGUACGUAACACUUAACAUGAACAAAAAGAUAAAUCAGUUUGUUUUGUUACAAUUAUAUAGCCACUUAAAUCAGUUGAUACACUUUUCUUGCUAUUUCCUCAGAAAUAAAAAUAUAGUCAUGAAUCUCAAAAAAAAAAAAAAAAAG